ensembl:lncRNA
AGAUAUAUACAGGGGUAAGGUGACAGGGAUACUGGAGUGAUGGAGGUAGAAAUGUAUAGGGGUAAGGUGACAGGGAUACUGGAGUGAUGGAGGUAGAUAUGUAUAGGGGGAAGGAGACAGGGAUACUGGAGUGAUGCAGGUAGAUAUGUAUCAGGGUAAGGUGACAGGGAUACUGGAGUGAUGGAGGUAGAUAUGUAUAGGGGUAAGGUGACAGGGAUACUGGAGUGAUGGAGGUAGAUAUGUAUAGGGGGGU